AUUCCAGAUCAUUUCUCUCCAUUCCAGGAAGUUUGCAUAGCUCCCUGGACUUCUGCUCUGCACUGUCCUGCAGGAGUGGGCGGGAAAAGGAAGUGGCUUUGAGGCAUACAGAGGGGCUUGGUGAGGCCACCAGAGGAAGCUUCUGCCACCAAUGUGGGACCUGUGCCCAGCCUGCCAGAAAAGAGCAUCUGAAAACAUGUAUCAACAUGGUAACCCCUCUGCUUGAAGCCUCACAUGGCUCCUUAUUGCACUGGUGCUGAACACCCUAUGGCUGACCGUGGCCCAGCCUCUGCAACAUUUCUGCUCCUCUCCAGUGGUGAAGACCCAGCCUGCUGAGACUCCUCCUGUAGUUCCUCAACAUGCCUGCAUUUCUGCUGCCUCAGGGCCUUUGCGAAGGUUGCUCCUUGUAACCGGAAUGCUCUUCCCUCCCUUUUUUGUUCAAAAGACUGCAAUUUUAAUUGAAGAAAUUUCCCUUCCAAGGUUCAUGAGUUGCCUGACUUGCCCACCUACUUCCUGCAGGAUCCCUUGGCCUGGCACUUAGUGCUCAGGAAAUAUUUGUUGAUGGACCAACUGAGUGAGAAGGUGGGAUCUGGUGGGAAGGAAAGCGGAAAGGUAGAAAUUCUGCUCACUUCCUCAUUCCCACCUCCCAAGGAACCCCUGGUGUCCCUGUGGAACCCGCUUUGGGAACCAGUGGUUCAGGUCAGCCUUUUCACUUUGUACUCAAAGCCACAUCUCAUUGAAGCCACAGGUGGGGCAAGGUCAUGCAUGACCUGGGUCUCCAAAUCCCUUCACCCUAUUCGGUUCUGCAACGGGGAUUACGGGAGCCCCACCAUUUGUUUUCAAAGGAUGUCCGGGCUCCAGGACAGGAUGCCCUGGGUCACCUGAUGACAGGUGUGGUGGUUGGAAAGGGCCUGGUUUCAGCUCCGGGUACACUUCCUCCUUCCUUCUGCUCCCUGGUGUGGCCUCUUCCACGUCCUCAGAAUCCAGCUGUUACUCCAUCCGUGGCCUUUCGGCUUUAGGCUCCCCCCAGGUAAGGCCUCUUGUCCCACUUUCACCCCCAGCCCGGAUUGCAUGGGCCCAGGGAGAGACCUCCUGGCGCCGAGCCUCCUCCCCUCAGCCUCAAUCCUGUCUUCUGUAAUUCAGAGUGCAGGUGGGCUGGUACAAGAUCCCUGGGGGAGGGUCUGCAGGCUGUGCAGUGGCCUGGCAUUUGGCCAGCAGCCCCUAGUCACAGGCAGGGGUCUUUCUGGAUGCACCGAGGGGGGCUGAGGAUAUGGGAGGUCUGGCUGAUUUGCCAAACCAGGAGGAAGUGGGUGUCUGUCUGUCUCUCUUGCAGAGCUCUGCGGUAGAAUCCCAUGCCCCCCGACCCCAUCAGCAGCCUACACCCCUUCAUUCUUCCUGGCCCCAGAUUUUCUCUGCCUCUGCCAAUCCCGGUGGGAAAAGAGGACUUAGGAUGCAAUUUGCUUUCUGGCUUUGUUUUUUUACAUCCUGAUCUUUGUGGCAUGGAUCGAUCAUUUUCCAGGGAAAGUACCUUGGGUGAGAUCUCUCUCCUGGACUCCCGUUCCCCAUUUUCCCCAAUCUCCCCUCCUGAAGGUCACCGGCAAAGACUUCACUGUCUCCUAGGAAGAGGUCGCCAUAAACCCAGGGCCCACAUGAUAAAAUAUUAAUAUUAAAUGUAUCUCUAAACAUUAACCUUUCACUGGCAGCCCAAGAGCCCGACAGCACAAAGGAAUAGUUGGUUAAAAUUCAACCUCCCUCCCAGUCCGGGCUCUGACUGUCCCUCGAGGGCUGUCUCUUGAGUCUUUUUCCAGAAUUUUGGUAUGUGC
rnacentral:sRNA from 1 species